rnacentral:lncRNA from 1 species
CAAGCCUAAAGGCCCAGAUCUCUUAAGAUACGUAGAUUUGCUUAACUCUUGCUGAAAUCACGAAGUGAUUAGCAACAGAUCUACUCUAAAUGUCCUGAUCAAACCUAUACAAAGGAUCCAUGACAGAAGAGAUAUUAAAGCCAGUUUCUUUACACACAGACUAAAAGAGAAAUACAGCUUUUAAUUUGCCUCAGUAUUCCCAGUCCUGUCCCAUCCUGUUCCCUGCCUACCUAUGCCUCCCCCCCCCGAAAAAAAAAAAAAAAAAAAAAAAAAAAGAAAAAAGAAAAAAAAAAGCUUAUAAUAUUAAGAACUGAAAAAGGAGAUUCAGGAAUAUUGAUGCAGAAGUUUCAGGUAGGUAGAUAAAUCCAUACUUCAUUGAGAAAUGCAGUUAACAAAGAUGAAAUUCUUCCAUUUUCUACUGUCUAUUUUUACUGGCUUUAAGCAGUAUCCACACUGUGGGGUGUGACUGCACAGACAUGCAGUUCUGUGCCACUUCUGAAAAAAGAAAAUAGGAUGAUUUCCUGCUCAGGAAGGUAACCUCUCAUGAAAGCUUCAGCAGUGGAGGCCACAGCUCUACCGCAGCUGAAGCAUCUGGCCCUUCAGAGCAUACAAAUCCUGUCCUCAUGCUUUGUCUUACAGGUAUAAAGACAAAAUGGUUAAGAAGAAAACAAAACAAAACAAAACAACAACAACAACAACAAAAAAAGACCUCUUCCACUGUUAAAUUUUUGAUCCAGACUGGGAGGACUGAUUCAGUCCUGCAAUGGUUGGAAUUCACCAAAAGGAUGAAAUCACACCAGUUCUAUUAUCUGUCAGUUAAACUCUUUGAACCUUCAAGUCAUAUUCAUAGAAAGGAUAGUAUUUUGAGGGAUGCUAAAACUUGUAAAAUGGGGAAUGGAUCUGUGUUCAUUUACUGGCAAGUGCUGGAAGUUAUUAAGUGGUGCUGAUUUCUUGCUACAUGCAAACCCUAAUCUAUUGCCAAAAUCUGAAUAAAAAUGAAGUUUUACUGCCA